GAUCCAUAGCAGUCCUAUUGAUAGUAUGCAGUAAUUUUAGCGCAUAGAAAACGUUUAUAUUGGGUCGAAUGCUCAAUUAUUUUCAGAUGGAGGAAUACCUUGAAGAAAAUAUAUAUAUAUAAAGACGCACUAUUCAAAUAAUCAUCAGUGCCAACAUUAACUGUUUCCCUAAGAUGCGUUCAGUUGUGAUUCUUUUUUUUUUAUGUCGCAACUGUCUGUCGUAGUUCUGUCAGCUAAUGUUACGAGAAUGUCCAACUGCAGUGUUAGGUUUCUGAAAGAUGAGAAAGUUUCUGCCGGAUAAGUUAUCAACGAAAUUAUGGUGAAUACUUGAGGUAUGUGACUAGGAUGGUAGCGCCGCUAGAACGCCAAAAUCAGAACGAAGAUUUUGGUUUCUGCCGAACAAUUUUUACUAUAUUAAUAAAAAUGAAGGAACAUUCUUAAAUUAUUGACACCUAUUUUUGCAUAAUUCAUUAUUUCUACGUAUAACUU